rnacentral:lncRNA from 1 species
UAGUGCUAUUUCUUUUUACCAAACUGAGUCUCUUGCUUCAGGAAAACUAUCUUCAACAUAAACUUGUUAAAAAGGGAAUGUGUGGGCAGCAGCACUCUGCAAAGCUCCACAUCCAGCUUCAGUCUAAUGGAUCAGUCUUAAGCAAUCUGGAGAGGCUGACUUAGGGGAGAGUGCUCUGAUGGCUAAGCUUGGUGUUUCCUGCUCUCUACACACGGAAUCCUUGCCUCUGGCUAAGAUUAAAAGCGUGAAACUGCAUGGGGAAACACAAGAAGGCUUGUCUCUGCAGACAGGCAAAGGAAGCUGAAAUGCAUCCUGAAAUUUACUUUGCCCAGAGGUCUGGGAAAACUGGAGAAAGUGGGAAAAGCUCCUUUCUUCAUAAAUGCAGUUGACCAGCAGAGCAGCAUUCAUUAGAAUCUGAAUGAGAAGAGAGAAGGGGAUAUAUGGCAAUUUAUGGUAUGUAACCAAGAGCAACAUGUUUUAUGUUUAAGUAUAUCGUUCUUUAGCAUUCUAGAGGACUAUGAAAGAGG